rnacentral:rRNA from 1 species
GGCCGCGGGAAUUCGAUUCAGGCCUAACACAUGCAAGUCGAACGAAGCGCUUAAGACGGACCCUUCGGGGGAAGAUUUAAGUGACUGAGUGGCGGACGGGUGAGUAACGCGUGGGCAACCUGCCCUGUACAGGGGGAUAACAGUUGGAAACGGCUGCUAAUACCGCAUAAGCGCACAGUGGGACAUCCCACAGUGUGAAAAACUCCGGUGGUACAGGAUGGGCCCGCGUCUGAUUAGCUAGUUGGCAGGGUAACGGCCUACCAAGGCAACGAUCAGUAGCCGGUCUGAGAGGAUGAACGGCCACAUUGGAACUGAGACACGGUCCAAACUCCUACGGGAGGCAGCAGUGGGGAAUAUUGCAAGAUGGGGGAAACCCUGAUGCAGCAACGCCGCGUGAGUAAAGGAGUAUUUCGGUAUGUAAAGCUCUAUCAGCAGGGAAGAUAAUGACGGUA